rnacentral:tRNA from 1 species
GAUUAUGAAGCAUAGCAAUUCAUUGUUACUGAAUCGAAGAUUUGAGAGUUUAAGUUG